AUUAAUGAAAUUCCCUUUCUCUUCCCUCUCUCUCUUUCACCGACGGUUUCUCUCAUUUCUCCAUGGCAGUUUCUUCAAUUUCUUCCAUAGAUUUCUUCUCUGCUUUUUCAAUUCUCCAAAUUUAACAUGGUAUCAGAGCGCAAAUUCGCUGCGUGCCUCUGAUUACCUCUAUCUUCUCUAUCUUUUGUUUUGAUUUUUCAUUUUUUUUCAUAGCUAGGGUUUGUGAGUUUGAUUCAUGAGAGUUUUUCGCCAAGUCUCUCACCGGAUUCAGUCUUCACCGGUGCUCCAGGCACUUUCUGCCAAGUUUUCAAGUUCAAAUCUCUGUUAUCUAGCCUCUUGUUUGGCUUUUGUUUGAAUUGGAGGAAGAGCACCUGAUAAUGCAGGUUCCUACAACUCCAAACUGCAACACAAGUUUCUUUUGUGAUGAAGGUGACUCAAGUCUAUGAAGUUGCUGCUGAAAUUUGGGGUGGCGCUUGAUUUAAACUUUUUUCGGCAGUUCCCGACUUCUCUUAUAUCAACAAUCAAAUGUUAUUUUGGAUAUACUAGAAUUGGAGAAUAAAUGUAAUUAGGAUUUAGUAGUUUGUAGUUGUUUUGUUGUUGUGUUUGUGGUCAAGAUGCUUCCAUCUUGAGGGGGGCUAUUAGAGUAUUGUUAGUUAGCUUAUUUCCAGCCUAUAUAUAAGGCAAAUUAAUGUAGUUUGUAAACCAACUUUUCCACAAUGUAGUCAUUAAUGAAAUUCCCUUUCUCUUCA